rnacentral:tRNA from 1 species
GAGGAAAUAGUUCAGUGGUAGAGCACGUGCCUAGUAUGUGUGAGGCUCUGGGUUCAAUUCCCAAUUCCACA